GAUGAACGCUGGCGGCGUGCCUAAUACAUGCAAGUCGAGCGAACAGACGAGGAGCUUGCUCCUCUGACGUUAGCGGCGGACGGGUGAGUAACACGUGGAUAACCUACCUAUAAGACUGGGAUAACUUCGGGAAACCGGAGCUAAUACCGGAUAAUAUAUUGAACCGCAUGGUUCAAUAGUGAAAGACGGUUUUGCUGUCACUUAUAGAUGGAUCCGCGCCGCAUUAGCUAGUUGGUAAGGUAACGGCUUACCAAGGCAACGAUGCGUAGCCGACCUGAGAGGGUGAUCAGCCACACUGGAACUGAGACACGGUCCAGACUCCUACGGGAGGCAGCAGUAGGGAAUCUUCCGCAAUGGGCGAAAGCUUGACGGAGCAACGCCGCGUGAGUGAUGAAGGUCUUCGGAUCGUAAAACUCUGUUAUUAGGGAAGAACAUAUGUGUAAGUAACUAUGCACGUCUUGACGGUACCUAAUCAGAAAGCCACGGCUAACUACGUG
rnacentral:rRNA from 1 species